UACAGAGGUGGCAAGCGUUGUUCGGAAUUACUGGGCGUAAAGGGCGCGUAGGCGGUCUUCUAAGUCUUGUGUGAAAUCCCUCGGCUCAACUGAGGAACUGCACGGGAUACUGGAAGACUUGAGUUCGGGAGAGGGAAGCGUAAUUCCGGGUGUAGCGGUGAAAUGCGUAGAUAUCCGGAGGAACACCGGUGGCGAAGGCGGCUUCCUGGACCGAUUACUGACGCUGAGGCGCGAAAGCUAGGGGAGCAAACGGG
rnacentral:rRNA from 1 species